ACCUGACUGCUAUCGGAUUGAUACUAAGCCAUGCGAGUCAUUGUAGCAAUACAAGGCAUACGGCUCAGUAACGCGUAGUCAACCUAACCUAUGGACGGGAAUAACCUCGGGAAACUGAGAAUAAUGCCCGAUAGAACAUUAUACCUGGAAUGGUUUAUGUUCCAAAUGAUUUAUCGCCGUAGGAUGGGACUGCGGCCUAUCAGUUUGUUGGUGAGGUAAUGGCCCACCAAGACUAUUACAGGUACGGGCUCUGAGAGGAGUAGCCCGGAGAUGGGUACUGAGACACGGACCCAGGCCCUAUGGGGCGCAGCAGGCGAGAAAACUUUGCAAUGUGCGAAAGCACGACAAGGUUAAUCCGAGUGAUUUCUGCUAAAGAGAUCUUUUGUUAGUCCUAGAAACACUAACGAAUAAGGGGUGGGCAAGUUCUGGUGUCAGCCGCCGCGGUAAAACCAGCACCUCAAGUGGUCAGGAUGAUUAUUGGGCCUAAAGCAUCCGUAGCCAGCUCUGUAAGUUUUCGGUUAAAUCUGUACGCUCAACGUACAGGCUGCCGGGAAUACUGCAGAACUAGGGAGUGGGAGAGGUAGACGGUACUCGGUAGGAAGUGGUAAAAUGCUUUGAUCUAUCGAUGACCACCUGUGGCGAAGGCGGUCUACCAGAACACGUCCGACGGUGAGGGAUGAAAGCUGGGGGAGCAAACCGGAUUAGAUACCCGGGUAGUCCCAGCUAUAAACUAUGCAAACUCAGUGAUGCAUUGGCUUGUGGCCAAUGCAGUGCUGCAGGGAAGCCGUUAAGUUUGCCGCCUGGGAAGUACGUACGCAAGUAUGAGACUUAAAGGAAUUGGCGGGGGAGCACCACAAGGGGUGAAGCCUGCGGUUC
rnacentral:rRNA from 1 species